UGUGUACACACGUGCCAGGCGCU
rnacentral:miRNA from 1 species